GUCCACGCCGUAAACUAUGAUUACUCGUUUUCAGCGAUAUACUGUUGGAGACUAAGCGAAAGUGAUAAGUAAUCCACCUGGGGAGUACGAUCGCAAGGUUGAAACUCAAAGGAAUUGACGGGGGCCCCGCACAAGCGGUGGAGCAUGUGGUUUAAUUCGAUGAUACGCGAGGAACCUUACCAGGGCUUAAAUGCAGAACGCAUGAAGUGGAAACAUUUCAGUCUUCGGACGGUCUGCAAGGUGCUGCAUGGCUGUCGU
rnacentral:rRNA from 1 species